UACGUAGGUGGCAAGCGUUGUCCGGAUUUACUGGGCGUAAAGGGCGCGUAGGCGGCCUUCUAAGUCGAACGUGAAAUCCCCGGGCUCAACCCGGGAACUGCGUCCGAUACUGGAAGGCUUGAAUCCGGGAGAGGGAUGUGGAAUUCCAGGUGUAGCGGUGAAAUGCGUAGAUAUCUGGAGGAACACCGGUGGCGAAGGCGACAUCCUGGACCGGUAUUGACGCUGAGUGAGCGAAAGCCAGGGGAGCAAACGGG
rnacentral:rRNA from 1 species